GACGAACGCUGGCGGCGUGCUUAACACAUGCAAGUCGAACGGAAAGGCCCUGCUUUUGUGGGGUGCUCGAGUGGCGAACGGGUGAGUAACACGUGAGUAACCUGCCCUUGACUUUGGGAUAACUUCAGGAAACUGGGGCUAAUACCGGAUAGGAGCUCCUGCUGCAUGGUGGGGGUUGGAAAGUUUCGGCGGUUGGGGAUGGACUCGCGGCUUAUCAGCUUGUUGGUGGGGUAGUGGCUUACCAAGGCUUUGACGGGUAGCCGGCCUGAGAGGGUGACCGGCCACAUUGGGAGUGAGAGCGGCCGCGGCCCGCGGCGGGAGGAAGCAGGGGGAAGUAGUGAAAAGGGGGGGGAAGCGGGAGGCAGCAACCCCGGGGGGGGGAGGACGGCUUGCGGUUUGAAAACCGCUGGCGCUGGUGACGAGGAUGGAGUGAAGGAAGGGAAUAAAAAAGCCCGGGCAAACUACGGC
rnacentral:rRNA from 1 species